rnacentral:rRNA from 1 species
AUUGAACGCUGGCGGCAGGCCUAACACAUGCAAGUCGGACGGUAGCACAGAGGAGCUUGCUCCUUGGGUGACGAGUGGCGGACGGGUGAGUAAUGUCUGGGGAUCUGCCCGAUAGAGGGGGAUAACCACUGGAAACGGUGGCUAAUACCGCAUAACGUCGCAAGACCAAAGAGGGGGACCUUCGGGCCUCUCACUAUCGGAUGAACCCAGAUGGGAUUAGCUAGUAGGCGGGGUAAUGGCCCACCUAGGCGACGAUCCCUAGCUGGUCUGAGAGGAUGACCAGCCACACUGGAACUGAGACACGGUCCAGACUCCUACGGGAGGCAGCAGUGGGGAAUAUUGCACAAUGGGCGCAAGCCUGAUGCAGCCAUGCCGCGUGUAUGAAGAAGGCCUUCGGGUUGUAAAGUACUUUCAGCGGGGAGGAAGGCGAUGCGGUUAAUAACCGCGCCGAUUGACGUUACCCGCAGAAGAAGCACCGGCUAACUCCGUGCCAGCAGCCGCCGCGG